AUAGGCAUCACAUGGCUCUGGCCUUGUCAGGUUCACAAACCUGUUUUCAGUGUGCAUGGCAGACGCUGAGAGCCAAGCAGAGGUUCAUCCUGAGGCCACUGUCCACACAGCUUGCUCAGCCAGACACGGGAUUGCUAGAGAGGCAGCCUAUUUGCUGCCCCCUCGCACACGCAUGCUCUGUUUGGGGCGGGGAGGAGAAUGGAAAGCCAGGUGAAGACUGUGUACGUUAAGUUCCCCAGGGAAAGUCCCUGAAUGCCAUUCCAAGGACUUCCACCGCAAUGUGACGGGGAAGUGGAAUGACCAAGAGCCUAAAAGCAGGAGAGUGCGAGAGAGUAGUAACGAACAUUUGCGGAGCACUGACACGCCAGUUUUCGGCGGACACAACAUCUUUGUUUGUAUGUGGUCCUGAGGAUCGAACCUGGGCCGCACACAUGCCAGGCGAGCGCGCUACCGCUUGAGCCACAUCCCCAGCCCACCAAGUUUUCACUCAGCUCUGCAUGUAGACAUGUCGUUCACUUGAGAAAUGUUUUGCCCAAAACUAUGACGCAGGAUUAACUAGACUUGUGUAGCCUCUUUCCUCCCACUUCAAGGCUAAAGACACACCAUCACCAGAAACACCAGACCAUAACUGAAGUAAAAAGAGGUGGUACCCCAAGUUCCUGGAAGAUUUCUACCUGUUCCCAGAAAAGAUAUGAAUUUUCUUCCUUUUAUUAGCCUCUCUCCCUCAUUAUUCCUGUCCUAUAUCCAAAACUUCUAAAGCCCCUGGAGUUGAGAAGUUGAUGUGCCAGCAGAGCACCCUCUUGCCCCAUUCUUGGACAUUAAAUAAA